rnacentral:rRNA from 1 species
GGUUGCGGCCAUAUCCUGGUGAAAAAUACGGGCUUCCCGGUCCGAUCAGCCCAUAGUUCAAGCCACCAGAGAGCCUUAGUUUAGUAUUGUAGUGGGAAGACCAUACGAGAAUCCUGGGUGCUGCAAUC